rnacentral:rRNA from 2 species
CGAGACCGAUAGCGAACAAGUACCGUGAGGGAAAGAUGAAAAGAACUUUGAAAAGAGAGUUAAAGAGUACCUGAAACUGCUGAAAGGGAAGCGAAUCGUAUCCAGUGUCUAUAAUCUGCAGCAUAUUUCAUUGGCGAGUAGGUGCGUGCAGUAUGUAAGAAGUGGUUUUCUGCUCUUUGUGCUGUUCUGCGUUUGCUUGUUGGUGCCCUGUGUUGCGGUGGGACGUCAGAGUCAGUUCGUAUGCUGUGAGAAAUGGCUACUGAGGAGGUAGGUUAGGAGCUUGCUCUUGGCUGUUAUAUCUUGGUAGUUAGUUGUCGUGGUUGAGACUGAGGUGCC